AGCGAACGCUGGCGGCAGGCUUAACACAUGCAAGUCGAGCGGGCCCUUCGGGGUCAGCGGCAGACGGGUGAGUAACACGUGGGAACGUACCCUUUGGUUCGGAAUAACGCUGGGAAACUAGCGCUAAUACCGGAUACGCCCUUUUGGGGAAAGGCUUGCUGCCAAAGGAUCGGCCCGCGUCUGAUUAGCUAGUUGGUGGGGUAAUGGCCUACCAAGGCGACGAUCAGUAGCUGGUCUGAGAGGAUGAUCAGCCACACUGGGACUGAGACACGGCCCAGACUCCAACGGAAGGAAGAAGGGGGGAAAAUUGGAAAAUGGGCGAAAGCCUGAUCCAGCCAGGCGGGGUGAGGAAUAAGGGCCUUAGGGUUGAAAAGCUCUUUUGUCGGGAACGAUAAGAAGGGUACCGAAAGAAAAAGCCCGGGCUACUUCGUG
rnacentral:rRNA from 1 species